GAUGCCAAGACGGCCGCCCGAUGUGCACCUGGGAACA
rnacentral:tRNA from 1 species